CAAACGCUACCCCUGUUACAAGCAUGAGUGGUUGACUUCAUGCAGACAUGCGCAGACAUUGAAGUACCGCGAGAGUGAUUCAAAAGCCCACGAAACAGUGUAAUCACGCGGUACUGUGAUGUCAUACUGGUUAACGCUAAGCCACGUGAAGCCGGACACAAGGGCUACACUAAUCUUUGGGCUGGAGUAGCCUGUGGUUUUUAAGGCUUCGUGUCUCAUCGCGUUAAACGAUCGCAGAACGAUUUAUUUCUCUUUUUCACCUCGAUCUUUGGCCUCGUGUGAUUUACCAAAACCAACAUGUGAAGUUACAACGCUGACGAAGGAGUUUCAUCAGUAGAGUGUGUCCUGGUAAACGUGUGCUCGGAAACAUGCAGAUUACAGUAUUUACAGAGCCGACCUUGAGUCACCCACUGAUGGAUAAUCUGUUUACCUAAAAACAGGGUGGUGUUCAUACAAAGCAACUUAUUGCUCAUCUGCUUGAGAGAAAGUUACUGCUGGGGCUCUCCUGCUAAGGUUGUCUUAAUUCUAAAAAGAAAUUAAGUCAUUUAGGCUUAGGUCAUAGCAAGUUUUGAAUGAAUGACUUCACAAUCUGUUUUAAUAAUGUUUAUUUACAAUGUAUUUUAUUCCACUUACCUGAAUCGUGCAGAGGCUUGAUGUUUAGUCCACCGGUUGUCUUCUCCAACCUCUGAGUGAAGCCACCACGAGUGGUCGUGUUAACCAAUUUUUUUAAUUUUAGUGCACAGUGAGUGUGUCUACAUAGUCUAAACGCUUAAUAAACUGAUAACGUGUAAGGUCAUUUAAAUGCAUAAAAUGGUUUUCUUUUAUAGGGUAAAGCCCAUAAAUGGCAAAAACUGAUUGGCACAGGUAGUUUUUUUGCUCUUAAACCAGAUUUUAACGUCUUUUUUGCCGUUUCGUAUGUGCGUAUGUCUCCACCUGUGAUAGAUAAACUUCACAAAUAAAAGUAAAUUAAAACGCUUGAAACAUGUUAAUGUAAUAAGCUGAUUUUUAUAAUAUCAUAAUAAGAUAAUUGUCCUCUUAUUAUGUGCAUGUAAACAUACUCAAUGUCUUUGUUUAUCCUUUGUCUCAAGUCACACUGAGUGUGAGAAGUCAUUUGUCCAGUGCUGUCGGGAAAUCUAUUGAUAACUGCAAUUCCUUCAGUCUAACAUGAUGGUUGAAUUAAACACAGAUAAACUCCCACUUUAUAGACCACAAGAUUUGAGUUCAGGCAGAUUAAGAUAGUUGAUUGAGUUUAGUUGUUAUUGUUUGGCUGUUGGCUCAUAUUAUUAUUGAUUUUGACAAUUUUCUUACAGCCCUUGUCUGUCAAAAUAAUGCAACCUCUGGUUGUAAAGCACAUUUUAAACUGAUCUUCUUCAUUCUGUCACUAGCCCACCACAAUCCAUGUUUACCAGCUGUGAAAGUGCAGGCCAAAAAUCUUCCUUCACCUGUGGGCCUCUACCCACAUGUAGAUAAGCACUUCAGGAGAAACCUGCCUGUGAUCUGCUAAGAUGCACAGAUUCAACUCUGGCCCAUUGUCAUCCCAACACCUCAUCUGCCAUCAGUUUCGUUUAGUGUCGGUCUAUUGCAAAAGUUCUUAUAAACUUUAAAUGAGACUUUGUGUUAAGCAGGGGUUUCCAAACUUUUCAUUCCACAACAUAUUAAGCCCAGGAUACACAGCAGGAUUUUUGCAAUCCAGUAAGACCUUAUCACACUGUGUGACAAGGAUUGUUUAAACUUCAGCAGUAGACUGUCGAUGAAGACACCUAUUGCAUCUGAAGCUGCGACAUCUGUCAUCAACAUGCGCUAGUGGUAAACAAAUACAGGUAUGCAGGUCGUAGAAGCAAACACAUUAUUGAUGUGCGAUGAUCAUGCUGAACUUCUUACACUGUCAUAAAACUAUCGUAGGUGUCUUUGGUCCCAGGACUGGGAAAACAGACGUCUUUAAACCUCUCACACUGUAUGAGAUAGGACCACCAAUUAAGAGCCACGAUCACAGAAAUCUCCACGAUUGUUUCACGAUUGGUAAUCUUUCAUCUGGGACAGCCAAAAAUCGUGCCGUGUAUUAUGGGCUUUAGACAGGUGUAAUCUUAUAGUAUAUCAAAACCAUUGCUAAUAAUUAAUUGGACAAACCAUCAUUACAAUGCAACACUCACUAUCUUACGGUGCGACCCACAAGUGGGUCUUCACCCACAGUUUAAAAACCCUGAGUAUGAGAAAGAGUAUGUUGUAUUGUAAUUAAAGUCACAUCUAAGUGUUAUGGAACAGUUUGUCAUUAUAUUCACAGUAUUACAUGGUUCUUUCAGCAGUUACUACGUUACAGUGCUCUUAAAGUGUCCUGAUCAGCUUUGGGUCUUGUGAAGUAAUGUAAUGAGAACGUGAUCAAUAGCUUUGCAGUAUUUUGUUACACUGUGGCUGUAAUCAUAUUAACACAUAGGUUAAACAUUUUAUUCAAAUUUGGUAAACAAAGUAGUCAAUAUAAUUCAUGCUGUGAUGCUGGAUUAAACCUGGUCAAAUGAUUGUGUAUUGUGUUUUCAAUUUUUUAUGAGGUUUCUUCAUCUAUAUAAACAUUCUCAAUAUCACCUUUGGUUUGCUCAGAGUUUGUUCAGAUGAUUUUUAAAACUAAAUGUUGUGAAAAUGCAAGGUGUGUUACACAAUUUCAAUGGAUGGCGUGGGGUCAAAAACUAUCAAAAGUUUCAACCUUAGAUAUAUAACUGUUGACAAACACACUUAAUGUGAGUCACACCCAGUAAUUAUAAUAAGCAGGAAUUGCAGUAAGCAGGGUCACCUUAAGAUAAUCAGCUUGUUGGCAAUUGUUUUAUUUAAUUAAAUGUAUAACUUUUUUCAUUUCAGACUGAUAAAACAGUCAGAGGGGCAGUGGCUGUUGGCAAUGAUGUUCUUGUGUGUUUUGUAAUUGUUAAUAUUUUGUAGUCAGAAAGAGUAUGAGAUCACCUUUUCU